GUGUCAGCAGCCGCGGUAAUACAGAGACUGCAAGCGUUAUUCGGAUUCACUGGGCGUAAAGGGUGCGCAGGCGGCCGUGUGUGUGAGGCGUGAAAGCCCGAUGCUUAACAUCGGAAUUGCACCUCAAACUACACGGCUAGAGCAUUGGAGAGGGUAGCGGAAUUCACGGUGUAGCAGUGAAAUGCGUAGAUAUCGUGAGGAACACCAGAGGCGAAGGCGGCUACCUGGACAAUUGCUGACGCUCAGGCACGAAAGCGUGGGGAGCAAAAGGGAUUAGAUACCCCUGUAGUCC
rnacentral:rRNA from 1 species